rnacentral:rRNA from 1 species
UACGUAGGGUGCAAGCGUUGUCCGGAAUUAUUGGGCGUAAAGAGCUCGUAGGCGGUCUGUCACGUCGGCUGUGAAAUCCCGAGGCUCAACUUCGGGUCUGCAGUCGAUACGGGCAAACUAGAGUAUUGCAGGGGAGACUGGAAUUCCUGGUGUAGCGGUGAAAUGCGCAGAUAUCAGGAGGAACACCGGUGGCGAAGGCGGGUCUCUGGGCAAUAACUGACGCUGAGGAGCGAAAGCGUGGGGAGCAAACAGG